rnacentral:misc_RNA from 1 species
GAUGAAGAACGUAGUGAAAUGCGAUGAGUAAUGUGAAUUGCAGAAUUCAGUGAAUCAUCGAAUCUUUGAACGCACAUUGCGCCCCCCAGUAUUCUGGCGGGCAUGCCUGUUCGAGCGUCAUUUCAACCAUCAAGCCCUGCUUGUGUUGGGGUCCUGCGGCUGCCCGCAGGCCCUGAAAACCAGUGGCGGGCUCGCUAGUCACACCGAGCGCAGUAGCACAUCUCGCUCAGGGCGUGCGGCGGGCUCCAGCCGUUAAAGCACCCACCUUUCGCAAGGUUGACCUCGGAUCAGGUAGGAAUACCCGCUGAACUUAAGCAUAUCAAUAAGCGGAGGA